ACACUGAUGAGGAGUCCCACAAUAGAACGAAACGGUCGUUCAGUAU
rnacentral:hammerhead_ribozyme from 1 species